GACAUAGAAUAAAUGACUAUACUCUAUCCUCGGAGAGAAGUAAGUAUAGGGCUCUCUCUGUUUAGUAAUCUCAUACAAAUGACAAAGA